UCCCAUUUUCCAAAAAAUUAAAAAAAAGAAGUAAGAAGAAGAAAAAGUACUAUGUAUAUAUGCUUAUGACGGUAAGUUUAUCAAAUUGUUGUAUCAUCUCUUUUUAAUAACUGGCCCACGCCCAACUAAUAAAAUUUACAACUUCUUUUAAAGUACAGUUCGAAUCAUAUGUAUAAUUUUUUUAUAAGUGGUGAGAGUUGGGAAAGAGUGUUUAAUUGUUGUUUUCUCAGAUAUAUAUAUGUCCUGUUGUAAAUAUGUAUAGUAUAUGUUUUUGGUGUAAUAAAAGCUUAACCUUUUGAAAGAAAAUUUUUUUGGUUGAAAUCUCUAGCAUCGGCAGAAAAGACUACCCAUGAGGGACUAGGAGGGAAAAAACAUGGAGUAACAAUUAGGUACACCUACACACCUUAAAUAUUGGUUGAUCACUAAUUAAAGUGUAAACUGAACUAAACGGUUUUGAGCUUGAUUCGUAUUCGCUCAAUUAAAAGUUCGAUUCGAGCUCGGCUUUAAAUAUAAACGAUUUAAAUAUGAGAAAUUUAAAGUUUGAUAAAUUACUCGAGCAUUUUCAAAUUACAUUUUUAUGUUGAUACUCAGAUCAUAUUCGCUCGAAUAGUUCAAACUGUUCGGGUUCGACUCAGUAGCUAAACAAACUUCAAUUAAACCUUAUUUUAAACUCAAAAAAUUUUAUUAAUCAAAUUUAAAUAAUUCAAUACUCGACUCGACUCGACUUAUUUAGUCUCCUAGUUGAGACCGAAAUUAAGAGUAGUAUUAUGUGUACAAACUACAUAUAAAUAACUAUAUACACAGGUAGAGAGAAAAAGUAUUACGUGGUUUCUAUCAUUUAAAUUAUUAAUAAAAUUCGUUAAUAUUUUUAUUUUUUAACUUUUUAACUAUUCAAUUAAUGAGGUAAUAAUAUAUGUGUACAUAAAAUUAUUCAAAAACCAAUAAAGUUACAUCUGAAGAAGUAAUGGAGG
rnacentral:lncRNA from 1 species